rnacentral:rRNA from 1 species
UGGGGAAUUUUGGACAAUGGGCGAAAGCCUGAUCCAGCAAUGCCGCGUGUGUGAAGAAGGCCUUCGGGUUGUAAAGCACUUUUGUCCGGAAAGAAAUCCUUGGCUCUAAUACAGUCGGGGGAUGACGGUACCGGAAGAAUAAGCACCGGCUAACUACGUGCCAGCAGCCGCGGUAAUACGUAGGGUGCAAGCGUUAAUCGGAAUUACUGGGCGUAAAGCGUGCGCAGGCGGUUUGCUAAGACCGAUGUGAAAUCCCCGGGCUCAACCUGGGAACUGCAUUGGUGACUGGCAGGCUAGAGUAUGGCAGAGGGGGGUAGAAUUCCACGUGUAGCAGUGAAAUGCGUAGAGAUGUGGAGGAAUACCGAUGGCGAAGGCAGCCCCCUGGGCCAAUACUGACGCUCAUGCACGAAAGCGUGGGGAGCAAACAGGAUUAGAUACCCUGGUAGUCCACGCCCUAAAACGAUGUCAACUAGUUGUUGGGGAUUCAUUUCCUUAGUAACGUAGCUAAGCGCGUGAAGUUGACCGCCUGGGGAGUACGGUCGCAAGAUUAAAAACUUCAAAUGGAAUUGACGGGGUCAUAGCUGUUUCCU